rnacentral:lncRNA from 1 species
UCCCAUCUAUAAAAAUAACAAAAACAUCUAAGACAAGCCCAAGGAGCCAAACAAAGUAAUCUACAUGUUACGAAACAAAAAAUAAAAAGGCCAAUACAUGCUAUGAAUCAUAAUACAUAAAUAGAGAAAAAGAACUACAGAAAUUUUAUUUUUAUAAUUGUUGGGUUUAAACAAUAUACUCUAUUAACUUGUUUUGAGUAGAGUAGUCAUUUUUUACACUCGUCUCUCCAUUAUCAGCUUCUUCAUUCUAUUUUAUUGUUCAAUUGAAUUAAUAGAGCCUAUUUUUAAAAAAAAAACUUAUUCACAGAUCUCUGAACAAUCAAAAAGAACUUAUUCAUUAUCUUCAAGGUUGUAAGACUAAGACAGUGUAAUGUUCACUGAAAUUCAUCAAGAAUAAGCAAUGCACUGGUAGGUCAGAGCCACUAUUUCAUACCUACAAACAAUAAAAAAGAAAGCAAUCAAGAAAUUAAGAUUAGUCAUUCAAAAAUCAGUGAAAUUUCAGAUAUCAGAAAGAGAAAAUAAGAACAAGAGAAUCAGAAGUAAACUUACUUUGUUUUAAAUCGAAUUUAAGUUUUUAAAAUUGAAAGAAACCAGAUAUUCAGAUCAUGUUCCGAUGGUUGAUGACGAUGGCGUGUUUGCACUUGGCUAGUAGCUCCUCGCUCCUCUCUUUGGCGCCUGAUUACACCAGAUUUAGAUUUGGCCCUUUUUAGGCUAAAAAGUAUUGGGCUUUCACGCUAUUAAUCCAAUAUAACAGCUAUAAAUACUUUAACUAUAAAAUAUAACGUCUAUACUCUAUACGAAGUAGGGCAUUCACUUACUAAUUACUAUAUAUUUCAUUUCAUAGGGAA